GCCCUCAGUGGGCAAACGGCAGCAACGGCGAAAAAUGGCGGAUAAAUCCGAAGGGAGCCUCGAUGGCAAGCCUCUGAGCUCGCUUCGUGUGGUAGACCUCAAGAACGCACUCCAGGAGCGCGGAUUGCCCAAAGGCGGCAGCAAGAAGGAACUGGUGGAGCGCCUCAAGCUGCAACUGGAACUUGAGAAGCUUCAACAGGAGUCAGCAGACUCCAAAGAUCAAGUCCCCAACCUUGCACUUCAGGAUGAACUGGGCGGUCAGAAUGAUUUCGUGCGGCAGUACUUGGCUGCCCAACAACAGACUUUCGCAAUGCAGCUCAAGGAGCGCCGACUCACAGAGCUACAGGCAUCUGGCAGCACUCCAGAGGCACCCAGUGCCACAAGGGAAGCCCCCACAGCUCCUCGGCAGAAAGGCCCGCAGCUCCCAGUGGCCGUCGGAGAGCGGGCAAAGCGUGAGAGCUGGGAGCGCAAACGGGGCCGCCAGUGCCCCUCGUCCAUCGAUCCGGGUGGCCUGCUCGAGAGUCCCACUCGCGGAGAGCCCCCGCUCGAGGCAGACGCUCCCACCGAAGCCCGCCGGACCCGCCUCUCCACGCGGCAAGGCGACCUCAAGAGCGAGGUCAAGAUUGAGCAUAACACUGAGCUCAAAAGCGAGCUGCACAUUCGAGUCAAAAUUGAACCAAAAAGAAAGCCCAAGGCGAGAGGCCAAGCGAGAAGCGAGCCUCGACAGCUGCGCCACACGCUCUCGCCCACCGACCAUCCCCCAAAAAGGAAACAGUUGGCAGAGCCGAGCCCAACGCGUUUGCCUUCCGAGAGUGAGGAGGAUGCUUGCAAGCGGUUGCAGGGCCCCAAGGAAGAGCACAGUGCUGUUGGAAUGCUCCAACGUGUCGUCCGGUCACCACGGAAGGCGGCCAUGGCACCAGUUGUGCUCCUGCGACCAUUGGAACAACUGCAGACUCCACGGUAUCCAUCGCGCAGGAGGCAGUCCUCCAGUGAUGAGAGUGCAAAGAACCUGCCGCAGGAAGGGAGUCUAACCAGCACGGGAGAUGACACAAACAAGCUGACAGCAAGCGACCUCCAGGAGUCUGGGACGGUACAGCCGAGCCUGGACGCUCAAGAAGGGCCCGUUCCAGAGGCGAGACCACGCUCAAAACAAAGGGACUCGGAGGCGCGGAAAAGCAACGCGCCUCUGGAAAAGAGUCUGAAUGAUUCCACAACACACACAGUGCGUGCCCAUCGGAAGCCUCCUAGAGCUCCACCCAAAACCGGUACCAUUGUGUUGGAUCUGCCUGAAAGUAGGGACGUCACACCAGCUCCACAAGAGGCUAGGGACACGGGAUCAGUGAUACAAAUCAGCAAGCAUGUUCUUCGACACACGAGAGCAGAAAGUGGCCAAGUGCUUGAGCAUUCAGAAAUGCCAGCAACGAAUGUCACGUUAGAGUGCAAUGUUGUAAAUACGACUGACAGUUCCGUCCCCAAGGAAGUUGUGAGUGCAACCACUUCAUCUGAUCUGGGAGCUCCUCCUUCUACCCAAGUGCCUUUUAUCCAGCAAAGUACACCGACAUGUUCAUUCCCUGCCUCGGCAGAUAUGCAGUUUGUCUCCGAGGAACCUGGCCAAGAGUCCAGUCAAGACAAAAUACCUGUUGCGACUCAUGUGCAGGACUCCCAGGAGGCUGUAAAUGCCGCCUUGGUAUCCUGGGAAAGCUCCCAAGUAUUUUCAGAGAGUCCAAAUGUUGCACCAUGUUCCAAAGACAACAAGAACAUUUUCAACAUGGCCACUGAAAGAGAGUCUUGCAUUGUUUUCAACAAAGACAAACCACCUAUUGAGUUUUCUAGGACAUUAAAAGAACAAAAACACUCCCAAAACCAGGGGAGUAUACCUGACACUAUUUUGAUGCCGUUUUCCACACCUGGUCCACGUCCCGAUGAACUGGAAGAUGUGAGCAAAGUCAGCACUUCUGACACUGAAGAACACAGCGUUUUGCUGGACUAUUCAAGUAUAAGAUCGGCGACUGGAAUCCGUUCCAAGCCACCUGUGCGGGGUCCUCUAACCGUAGCUGAAAUGACAAGUGCAGUGAAGUCCAUCUUGGAAACGGCGGUCAACAUCCCCGCUGCGGCUGUACACUGUCAUGUUGCACUUGACACUGCACCAAACCUAGUUGAUGAACUUGAAGUGGACAAUGCAACUGAUAGCCUGCUGAAGGAGAUGUCAAUUGAGCCCGAAGAUGCUAUAGAGGAUUGCGUAGCAGGACUUGAAAGAGUUCCAGAAGCAGCAGACUCGCAGCUCCUGGGAUGUGACAACCUCCAAGAGCAUUUAGUCGGAGAGGAUGAGACUCACAAAGAACUUGAGCAAGUAAUGGUAGAAACUUCUCGUGCUGUCCUUACGGACGUAAUACCUUUGAGUGAAGACCGUGGGAUGGCCCCAGCUGACGAGGGUCAGCAAUGUUUAGUGACCUCCACAGAAGAGCCUCAUUACACAGCAGCGCUUGAAAAACAGAAAGAAGACAGUUCAGCAGCAGCUGUAGUAUUGAGCGAAUGCCAAGUGGGAGCAGCAUCUGAAAGACCAGGUUUCAAACCAGUGGCCGCAGAAGUGAACUCCUCACUUCAAGUUUCUAAUGGAGAGAAGCCGUCAACUCCUGCUACGCAGGUUCUCUUGGACGAACCUGCUCAGCCUCCAUUACAAACGGAGGAAGCAACCCAUACCACAGCACCACCCAUUCAAUCUGAAACCGUUGCAGCUCUCCGUCCCGUGACGUCAACCUUCUCAGAAGCUUCAGACAGUUCAACUAUGAGGUCAUUUUCCUGCCAAGAAGACAAUAAUGCAACAAAUCAAGAAGUCAAAAUACAAGCUUUCAUUUUUCAAGUGUCUGACCUUCAUUCACAUGAAGUCAGCUUGUCACUAACAACAGCUAACGAAAAAUCGGAAAAGAGCAGUGAUAAAGCACUUGCAGAUGCUGACAGCUGCCUGCCUUCCACUGCAGAGUGCUCAACCCAGCUAUCUGAGACAGCUUCGACUGGCAACUUAGCAGGAAUGCUACAGUAUCCAAAUGAAAAACUGGAAGUUGCACUGUUAGACAAGAACUAUGAUGAGCACACUCACGAUGCGUCUCCAAAAACCUGCUUGCACCAACUUGAGCAGAGGCCCUACGUUGCAGAACUGGCAUAUUCUACAGUAGGAGCAGAUGAAGUGCAAGUUGAAGCUCCGACUUCACUCCCUGAGGUUACAGUGGACAGUGGCACAGUUCGUAGAUCUUCAGAUCCUCCCUCUGGUGCCUCGGCACCUUGUUCGAAUCUCAGUGAAGACCCCGUUGGAGGAAAAGCACUGGGAACUACCCUAAGCAUAGAAGGAAGUUUGGAAGAGCACCUGGAGACACAUGUGGCUUCCAUUAGCCAAUCACAGGCAAGCAGACAAGAUGCCAAUAUUACCAAACAACAGGAUACGGAGCCUGCACAAAAACAAGCAGCUGCCAGUGAAAAAGGGUGUUUUGUACAGCAUACAUAUUAUAUUGAUGCCUGCAAGCCUCAACUAGAAGCAGAACUGCCCACAGUCACAGUCAGUGAAGUGACUACAUCACUUCAAACAACUACAGCAGGGACCAGCCUCACAAAACAACAGGAUACAGAGGUCGCAAGAGUAAAGGAAUCUGUUGAAGACAUGCAGUACGAGAUUCAGCAUCAUGCAUCAAUAGAUCUGACAAAUGAUAUCUGCAAGCCACCUCAAGUGGACUCACGAAGAGACCAGACUUUUGAAACAACUAAAGCUCUUAGUCCACAGGAGACAGAUGUUGCAAGAGAGGAGUUAACCACUACUGAAGGAAUGCCAAGCUGUUUGGAAAACAAUGCACCAGUGGAUGCUUCAAUAAAUGUCUGUAUGUCUCCCCAGAUUACAUUGGAAGCUGAGUAUAUGCACAGUGCAUCAAUUAGAGCUUCAACCCCAGAACUCCAGGCAAACACAGUGGAACCUGGCAUAUUAGCAAGGCAGGAGAGAGACAACCGGCCUCAAGGCUAUCCACCAGUGGAUGCUACAGUUGAUGAUCUUAAAAUUUCAGAGGUACUACCAGAAGAGGAUUCUACAACACAAAUCUCUGUAGCUCCUUUCAAGAUGCUUGAAAGAACCACACUAGAGGCUUGUGUGAAUACUCAACAGCAUACAAGGACUAAAAGGGAGGAAACAACUAGCAUUGCAGAAGUACAGUUCCAAGCCCUCACAAUUGUGGAUCCAAGAAAUGAUACCUGUGUCACUUCCCAAGCAGAGUUGGAAGAAACAUCUACACACCCUACAGCCAUUGAGAUCGCAGGUUCAGAGCCUGAUGUGUUAAUGACAGAGACUGACAUCACCAGGCAACAGGGUGCAGAUGUUGUAAUCAAAGAGGCCGUUGAAGAAGCUCAGUACCAGUCGCAAGACUAUGCAUCAAUAGAUGUGUCCCCUCGGGAGAAUAUGGAAAAAGAGUGUACUGUAGUCAAUAAAGCGUCCAUGCAUCAGGCAAACAAAGAAGACCUUCACAUUAUUAGGGAGCUGGAAAUAACCAAAGAAGCGGCUGCCACUGAAGAAGCACAGUCCCAAGAUGAUGCAUUGGUGCAUGAUAGAACUGAUGUUUUCAAAACUUGUCAUGUGGGGUCAGAAGAACCCAUAGACACAACAAUCUGUGAAAGCACCAUGCCCCAACCAGCAUCAACAGUAGAAACGUGCAAUAUCAUGCAGGAAAGUGGACGGACUGCAAGGGAAAAAGCGACUAGCACUGAAAGCAUGCAGUACCAAUAUCAAGGCCAUGUUUCAGUGGAUGCAGCAAGUGAUGCUUACCAUCUUGAUUCUGUGAAAUUAGAAGAUUCUUCAACACCUUCAGUGGCCAUGAGAGGGACUGGCUAUACUAGCAAAUGCUACAUGGGCAUUGCCACAGAAGCAGCAUCUACCACUGACCUACCAUCAGACCAGCUCAAAAACCAUAUAUCAGUGGAUGAUGCAAGAGACGUUUGCAAGGCCUCUCAAGCAGAAUCAGAAAAAGAGUCGGAAAUUACUGAAACUUUAACUACCGUGCUACAGACAGACCAGGACACAGAGAUGGUAAAGGAAAAUGGGGCAGUUACCGAAGGAAUGCGGUGCCAUUCUUGUGCUUCUGAAUCGGAUUAUGAGCACAGGUCUAGUGCAAUCAGUGCUAUCCCCAUUACAAACAUAGAGAUUGCUGCUGCCAAUCAGCGAGACGUGGGGGUUGCAAAGAGAGAGCCCACGGCCACAGUAGAAAUCCAGCGUACGUCAACAGAUGUUACAGUUGAUGCCUGCAAGCUUUCUGAAGUGGAACCAAAGUAUCCGCCCAUGGAUACUGCAACUGCAACCAGUGAAGCUCCAAUUAUGAUAGUUCAAGAAAACAUUGUGGAAACUGGUGCAGCUUGUCAGCAAGAUGCAGAAAUUUCAGAGAAAGGGUUGGCAGCCACUGAAGAAAUGCAGUUACAUACAGAACAUCAUUCAUCAACAGAUGCUACCCUUGUUGCUUGUGAGGCUUCUAAAGUAAAAUCAGAAGAUCAGCUUGAAGACACCGUUGUCGGUGACUCUCUGAUUUCAACACAUCAGUCAAUUACCAUACAAAGUGAUGUUUCCAGCAGCCAAUGUGACACAGAGGCUGUAAAGAAAGAGGCGUCUGUCACUGACGGAAUGCAGUGCCAGAUGCAGAACCACUCAAGAGAUGUAUGCCAGCUUUCUUGUGUGCAAUCAGGAUUUCAGCCCACAGACACUACUAAAAGCAAAGCUUCUAUUGCAACAUUUCAGGCAACCAUUAUGGAGAGCGAUGUUACUAGCCAACAAGGUCCAAAGUUUGCUACUGUUAUUGAAGGGGGCCACUACCAGUUCUCAAAUCAGGCACCAGUUGAUACCUCCAGGUCUCAAGUGCAACCAGAGGAAGAGCCCACAGUCACAGACCAAGCCAGUGCAGCUCUUGCGGCAACUCUUCAAGCAACGACAGCAGACACAAGUGCUACCUGUCAGCAGGACACUGAGGUUGACAAAGAGGAAUCAACUGCUGUUCGAGAAGCACACAACCACCUCUCAAGCUCUACAGCUACAGCUGAUGAAUGCAGUGCUUUUCAAGCCGAAUCUAAUAGGGAGACAGCAGACAUCGCAAUUACCGGCACUGUAGAAGCAUGCGCUGAAGCCGUAAGCCAACUUCAACAUUGUAUAGCAAGCAUGCCCAAAACAUUCGCUGUUACGUCUGCGGCUUGUGCCCGUGACAUUACUGAAACUACUAGUCAACUGAACACUGAAAUAUCGAAUGCACCAGAAUUGCUGUACAGCAUGGGCAGUAUGGCUUUGCUGCAUAAGGAGCAAGCACAAACAGAACAUCCUUAUGACUGCACUGUAUCCACCAGAUGCCCAAACAGCGCAGAUGUUGCCUCGAACAUUGUGACCACAAGCUCUGCCUUUGAGUUGGCAAUGCGGAAUGUACCCCUAGAAUCCCAUCCAAAGGAACCUCAAGCAUUGAGUCACAUCAACAUAAAUUUACCCGGUGCAGCAGCCAUUAAGGCUACAGGUGUAACGACAGACAAACCUUCACAGAUAUCAAGCUUGGGAAGUGCAGACUCUUCUCAACUGGACGUGCUUUCUUCAGUGUCAGAUCCUACACCUUCCAACACUGAAAGGUGUGAUUCGACAUACGAAGCUUGUAAGACGCCCAAUUACAGUCGCAGAAUUCUACAUGAACGAAUAUCCUCCACACCUGACAGUACAGGUACUGAACGACCAGUGCUAGUGAGUGUGACAUGCAAGGACCAAACUCCAAGUGUGACGGAGAUAUCAGAACAGAAAAAGGUUGUUGAGAGUACUUCAAUUUUGGAAACACUUAAUUUGCCUUCAUCAUCAGAAUCAAGGGAAGACCGUAAUGCUGGACUCAAAUGUCCAGAAACAUCACAGCUAGCUGGUAGCAUGCAUUGCCCACCAAUUACAGAGUUGCACACAAAGACAACCGAGGAGAAUCGAGAUGUCCAAGCAGAACAAGGGCAUGACGUCGAAUGUCAACCCUGUCCUGGUACUUGUGAAGGUGACGAGAGGCUACCUGGGAACCUAAAACCCAGUAUGUUGAGAGAGGAUCUCGAUGAAACGCUACCCAGCUGUAACGUGAGUUUGAGCGAAAGAUGUCAAGAAAUCAAAGGUGCCUGUAUGACAGAGGGCAAGGCCUCAUUUGACAACACAUCAAGGUGCUCGAACUGUCCCCAAAGCCAAGAGCUUGAAAAAGUGCCUUCUACCAGAGCCUUAUCAUCGUUGGAAGUUGGCAUAGAAAACCCGAUUGGUAAUCGGCCUCAAGCAAGCAGCAGCCUGACCAAUCCUAACUCCUUUACGGAGACACUAAUGCAGUGUGGUACGCCUUGCCAUGUUAACUUGGACGGUAAAGAAGAGACAAGCUCUGUGCCACAGUGUCAUCGAGCAGCUCCAAAAGUACAAGGUGACAUAAACCGGCUGGGCACGGGCCACGAUGUGCUAGGCCUCGCGAAGCGGAGCAGCAGCAGCAGCAGCACCAGUGGCAGCAGCACCAGCGGUAGCGGCAGCAGCGGGAGUACCAACGGAAGCAGCGAGAGCGACAGCAGCGGGAGCAGCGGCGACGACAGCAGCAGCAGUAGCAGCAGCGACAGCAGUGCAUCGGACGAGGAACGUGGAGCAGCCAUGGCACGCCUGAGAGGCCGCGGGGUGCGCAAGCAGGCGGUGCGUACCGCCAAGGAAGCGACGUCGGACCAGGAGGCCUCGGACCGGGAAGGCUCGGACGGUGAGGAGAGCGACUCGGGGGGCCAGGCACGCCGCCUGCUGCGCAAUGGGCGGCGGGCCCGCUCUCCGCCGGAGGAGGGGCGGGUGACGCGGCGGACGUUGCGGCAGCGCAAGCCGGGGGGUGACGCCCCCGACGAGGCCCCCAAGCGAGAAGACUCGUCGGACACGGAGCGGGACGGCAGCCCGGCGGAGGAGCGGCGCUCUCCCGAGAAGGCGGCAGAAGAGGAUCCCAAUGGUAAGGUGGCACCGGCGGACGAGGAACAGCAGCCCAGCGGCCCGGCCUGGAAGGAAACGCUGGCCAUCAAGGUGCUCAACCUGAGCUCGGAUUCGUCGGAGUCUUCGGAGGCGGAAGAGGAGCGCGUGGGACGGAGGGCCCUCAAGGGGACUGGGCCCACGUCUCCUCCGCGGUCCCCCUCGGCGGCAGCUCCGGAAGCGGCAUCGCAGGAGGAGCGGGAGUCUCCUUGCCCGCCAGCUGAGGAAAGCUCCAAGAAGGACGGCGCCGUCGUUGGGGGGGUCGAGGUUGCCGAGGAAGACGAGGCGGGACGGCCCGAGUCUGAAGAGCCUGCAAAAGAAGAGAACGCCACACCCCCAGACAUCGAGAUGAAGCAGGAGGCCCCAAGGAGUAUCUCUCCCCCCAAGUUCAAGGCACGGAGGAUAUCCACUGCUGCAUUGAAGAGGGAGUCCAGGGAUAAGGAGGACAAGCCUCAGCGCAAGAGACGGUGGGGCUCAACCAACGUCGUGGUGGGACCUUCUGUCAGCAUUUCCACCAGCGCACUAAAGGACCUGAUUCCCGACCUGGAGCCUGUGGCCAGCAAGAUGAAGGAGGAGUCCCUGGCCUCGGUGCCCGAGGAGCCGGUCGCCUCGGCGGAUAAGCCCGUCACCGACAAAGGGGAGGACGCGGAGCUUGCCAAGACCUCGGACGAGCCUCCGGCCAAGGUGCAGGCCGUGGCAGCCCCCGUGGUGCAGCCCAAGGAGGCCAAGCCAGUCGUGGAAGACGGGCAACCCGUUUCCGAGCGGAAACCCAUCCACGCGCUUGCAGACAGGGCUCCGCUCUCCAGAAGAGCCAAGGAGGAGAGCGUACGAAAAGAGCCAAGUCCAGCCAAGAACCCGAAGACGCGCACCCUGUUUGUACGCAACCUGGUGCGGCCCUUCACCCUGAACCAGCUGAAACAGCUGCUGCUGGAGUUUGGGGAGACUGUCGACUCGGAGUUCUGGAUCGACAAGAUCAAGUCCAAGUGUUUUGUCACGUAUACAACGGAAGAAGAGGCAGCCAAAGCAAGGGAGGCAUUGCACAACCUUCGCUGGCCCCUAUGCAACCCGAAGAUUCUGCACGUGGACUUUUCAACGCCGGAGGAGAUGGCGCGGCAGAAGGAGCCGCCCGCCCCUCGGCCCCCGGCGCCCCUCCCGGCCCCGGCGAUGCCCGUCGCCCCCGACCGCUCGGCUGCCCCGGCCUUCCACCGGACGGUGGAGGUGGAACCGCGGCCCCCAGGUCGAGACGUUCGAGAGGCGAGAGACCCGCGCGAGGUGCGUGGCACGCGGGACACACGGGACGUACGUGACGCACGCGACGCACGCGACGUGCGAGAGUCCCGCAACGUUCGAGAGAGCCGCGAGCCCAGAGAUGCCCGCGAGGGCAGGGGAGACCCCCGGGCACUGCCGGUGCGGCUUCCCGUGCGCGAGGAGCACCGGACUGCCCCAGAAAGGCAGGCGGCACCCGCACCGAGGAGGGUGCCCAUGCGGGAGUGGGACCGGGACAAGCUUCGACAAGAGACUCCGCCCCAGGAACAACGCCCCCGCCCGCCCAAGGACGUGAAGGACCGGGCGCACACGCCCGACAAGAAGGAGCGACGCGACAAGAAGGUGGCAAAGCGCAAGCAAGAGGACACGCCAGCCAAGCUGCUGGACGACCUGUUCCGUAAGACCAAGGCCACGCCGUGCAUCUACUGGCUUCCCCUGACGGACGACCAGAUAGCGCACAAAGAGGAGGAGCGCAAGCAGCGGCGCCUGGACCGCGAGCGCCGCCGACAGCAGCAGCAGCUGCAGGAGGAGGAAGAUCGGCGCAAGCGGGCCUUGGCACGAGACCUCGACUCCAAGGCACGGGACUCCAAGCGCACCGGUAGCCACAGUCCCGUACGGAGGCGCUAAAGCCUCUCGGAGGCCAAGCAACCGAGCCAGCAGGCGGACGCCUGCAAAUUGCUCACAACCGUCGGCGAGCAAAGAUGAAAGCGCCACCGACCACCGUUUCCCACCGCUCAUCCACAUGCCCCCUGAGGUCUCCCUCCGCCGUGGGCAAGAUAAUGAGGGUGUAAAGGGUUCCACCAUCUGCGGUUCGAGCGGUUGCGUACGAGCGGGGCUUAUUUAGCUGCCACCAAUCCUCCCGCACACGUCCCCCUGGGUUUGCCAAGAGAGGGCGAAAGAAAGCUUCUCUGACGGUUGCUUUGGGUGUGUCCCUUCGCCGGUGCGCGGUCCCGUCCGACUGGUGCGCUCCGAAGACGAUCCUCAUCGCCACAUGCACCAUCACUCAUCGUCGUUUCGGACUGGUGCCUCGUUCUUGGUGCAUCAAUUUGGUUGCGGAGAACAGUACGGUACAAGGCACCACGGACCUCCGCCCCGCAGUCGGCGACCAAGACUGCUGCUUUGUAUUCUUCACCACAGACUCUCUGGAGAUUUGUGAUCGACUAUUUUAGUGCUGUUUUCUUCAUUGUUCUCAUCUUUUGUGUUUGGUUUUUGAUGCCGAUUAUUAAUCGGUCGUCGACGCCAUCAUUUGUGAAAGCACCGCCACAUUGAUGAAUCAAUCGUGUCCGCCAUCAUUCGUGAAAGCACCGCCACACUGAUGAAUCAAUUGUGUCCCGUCUGUAUAAUCACCUUGACUCUUGGCCUGCGAGCCAAGCUGUAAAUGGCUGUCUGAAAAUUAUUUGGAGAGACUUGUAAAUUGAAACCAUUGUUGUUGUUUUUUCCUUAUUUCGUGCUAAGAGAAUAAAACCAAGCUGUAACCUGAAAUAAAGAUAGUUGGAUUUACCCA
rnacentral:misc_RNA from 1 species